GGCAGGCGGACAGCCAAGUUGGACGUGAAAGCUCCCGGCUUAACUGGGAGAGGGCGUACAAGACUGGCUGACUGGAGGGCAGAAGAGGGGCAUGGAAUUCCGGGUGGAGUGGUGAAAUGCGUAGAGAUCCGGAGGAACACCAGAGGCGAAGGCGGUGCCCUGGGCUGCACCUGACGCUGAGCCGCGAAAGCCAGGGUAGCGAACG
rnacentral:rRNA from 1 species